AGUGAACGCUGGCGGUAGGCCUAACACAUGCAAGUCGAACGGCAGCACAGUAAGAGCUUGCUCUUACGGGUGGCGAGUGGCGGACGGGCGAGGAAUACAUCGGAAUCUACUUUUUCGUGGGGGAUAACGUAGGGAAACUUACGCUAAUACCGCAUACGACCUACGGGUGAAAGCAGGGGAUCUUCGGACCUUGCGCGAUUGAAUGAGCCGAUGUCGGAUUAGCUGGUUGGCGGGGUAAAGGCCCACCAAGGCGACGAUCCGUAGCUGGUCUGAGAGGAUGAUCAGCCACACUGGAACUGAGACACGGUCCAGACUCCUACGGGAGGCAGCAGUGGGGAAUAUUGGACAAUGGGCGCAAGCCUGAUCCAGCCAUACCGCGUGGGUGAAGAAGGCCUUCGGGUUGUAAAGCCCUUUUGUUGGGAAAGAAAAGCAGCAGGUUAAUACCCCGCUGUUCUGACGGUACCCAAAGAAUAAGCACCGGCUAACUUCGUG
rnacentral:rRNA from 1 species